rnacentral:rRNA from 1 species
GUAGGGGGCGAGCGUUGUCCGGAUUUAUUGGGGCGUAAAGAGCUCGUAGGCGGUUGCGUAAGUCGGAUGUGAAAACUCAGGGGCUCAACCCUGAGAUGCCAUUCGAUACUGCGCUGACUCGAGUCCCGGUAGGGGAGCAUGGAAUUCCUGGUGUAGCGGUGAAAUGCGCAGAUAUCAGGAGGAACACCAGUGGCGAAGGCGGUGCUCUGGGCCGGUACUGACGCUGAGGAGCGAAAGCAUGGGUAGCAGACAGGAUUAGAUACCCUGGUAGUCCAUGCCGUAAACGUUGGGCACUAGGUGUGGGGCCUACUUAACGGGUUCCGUGCCGUAGCUAACGCAUUAAGUGCCCCGCCUGGGGAGUACGGCCGCAAGGCUA